rnacentral:misc_RNA from 1 species
GGAGAAUGUAAAUGUUGAAAAUGUUGCUGAAAAUCGGGCUGGGGAAGACCCUCCUGCCGAAUGACUUUGUAAUCGUGUCUUUUGAAAUGAAUAAUCAUUUUUGUGAUCAAUUUUCUUGAUAAGAUCGGGAAAACAUCAGACCAUGUACAAGUACUGAAUAGAUAAGAAAGAAUUAACUACCAAUCAAUUGAAUAAAGUUGAACGUAGAACUAGAUGAUCCAGAGAUCGGUUAAAAAAAUAAGACCACACCUUAAAGAGAUCGGAAAAAAACAUUGCACACGAACAUGAGAUCAGAUAGU